GUGUCAGCAGCCGCGGUAAUACGAAGGUUGCAAGCGUUGUUCGGAAUCACUGGGCUUAAAGCGUAUGUAGGCGGACCAGAAAGUAGUUUGUGAAAUACCCCGGCUCAACCGGGGAAUUGCUUGCUAAACUGCUGGUCUUGAGGCAAAUAGGGGUGCAUGGAACUCUUGGUGGAGCGGUGGAAUGCGUAGAUAUCAAGAGGAACGCCAGCGGCGAAAGCGGUGCACUGGAUUUGUCCUGACGCUCAGAUACGAAAGCGUGGGGAGCAAACGGGAUUAGAUACCCCUGUAGUCC
rnacentral:rRNA from 1 species